AAACCAACAGGGAUUGCCUCAGUAACGGCGAGUGAAGCGGCAAAAGCUCAAAUUUGAAACCCUCGGGAUUGUAAUUUGAAGAUUUGGCAUUGGAGAAAGCUAACCCAAGUUACUUGGAAUAGUACGUCAUAGAGGGUGACAACCCCGUCUGGCUAACCGUUCUCCAUGUAUUGCCUUAUCAAAGAGUCGAGUUGUUUGGGAAUGCAGCUCAAAGUGGGUGGUAAACUCCAUCUAAAGCUAAAUACUGGUGAGAGACCGAUAGCGAACAAGUACUGUGAAGGAAAGGUGAAAAGAACUUUGAAAAGAGAGUGAAAUAGUAUGUGAAAUUGUUGAUAGGGAAGGAAAUGAGUGGAGAGUGGUUUAGGUUUCAGCCUUCUUUCGAGGGGGUGCACUACCAACGCCGAGUCAUUGAUAGCGAGACAGGGGUUAUAAACGGACGGCACUUGUGCU
rnacentral:rRNA from 1 species